GAUCCUGCCGGAGGCUACCGCUAUUGGAGUUCGAUUAGGCCAUGCGAGUCGCGAGUCUUAGGGACUCGGCGUACCGCUCAGUAACACGUGGGUAACCUGCCCUAUGCUGGGGGAUAACCUCGGGAAACUGAGAAUAAUACCCCAUAGUUCACCACGCCUGGAACGGUGGGUGGACCAAAGCUCCGGCGGCAUAGGAUGGGCCUGCGGCGUAUCAGGUUGUAGGGGGUGUAAUGUACCCUCUAGCCCUCUACGCGUACGGGUGUUGAGAGACAUCGCCCGGAGAUGGAUUCUGAGACACGAAUCCAGACCCUACGGGGUGCAGCAGGCGCGAAAACUUGGCAAUGCGAGAAAUCGUGACCAGGGAACUCCAAGUGCAUCGGGUAAGACCGAUGCUUUUCUUGACUCUUCAAAGGUCUUGGAAUAAGGGGUGGGUAAGGACGGUGCCAGCCGCCGCGGUAAUACCGGCGCCCCAAGUGGUAGUCGCUUUUAUUGGGCCUAAAACGUCCGUAGCCGGUCUGGUACAUUCGUGGGUAAAUCAACCAGCUCAACUGGUUGAAUUCUGCGAGCACGGCCAGACUUGGGACCGGGAGAGGUGUGGGGUACUCUCAGGGUAGGGGUAAAAUCCUGUCAUCCUGAGAGGACCACCUGUUGCGAAGGCGCCACACUAGAACGGAUCCGACGGUCAGGGACGAAGCCUAGGGGCACGAACCGGAUUAGAUACCCGGGUAGUCCUAGGUGUAAACGCUGUGGACUUGAUGUUGGGGGCGCUCCGAGCGCACUCAGUGUCGAAGCGAAGGUGAUAAGUCCACUGCCUGGGGAGUACGGUCGCAAGGCUGAAACUUAAAGGAAUUGGCGGGGGAGCACCGCAACCUGAGGAUUGUGCGGUUUAAUUGGAUCAACGCCGGG
rnacentral:rRNA from 1 species